UACAGAGGUGGCAAGCGUUGUUCGGAAUUACUGGGCGUACAGGGCGCGUAGGCGGCCUUCUAAGUCAGACGUGAAAUCCCCAGGCUUAACUUGGGAACUGCGUCUGAUACUGGGAGGCUUGAGUGCGGGAGAGGGAUGUGGAAUUCCAGGUGUAGCGGUGAAAUGCGUAGAUAUCUGGAGGAACACCGGUGGCGAAGGCGGCAUCCUGGACCGACACUGACGCUGAGGCGCGAAAGCUAGGGGAGCAAACGGG
rnacentral:rRNA from 1 species